rnacentral:rRNA from 1 species
GGAACAAUGUUUAGUGGGCCAUUUUUGGUAAGCAGAACUGGCGAUGCGGGAUGAACCGAAAGUUAAGUUAAAGUGUCGAAAUAUAAGCUAAUUUAGAUAUCAUAAAAGGUGUUGAUUUAUAUAGACAGCAGGACGGUGGUCAUGGAAGUCGAUAUCCGCUAAGAAGUGUGUAACAACUCACCAACCGAAUGAAUUAGCCCUGAAAAUGGAUGGCGCUUAAAACGUAUUACUUAUACUUUACCAUUAAAGUAAAUGCUAAACUUUAAUGAGUAGGAGGGCGUAUUGAUAAUUUAGAAGAUUGACAGUGAUGUUGAUUGGAAUUAUCUUUAGUGCAGAUCUUGGUGGUAGUAGCAAAUAUUCAAUAGAGAACAUUGAAGACUGAAGUGGAGAAAAGGUUUCACAUGAACAACACUUGGAUGUGAGUUAGUCGAUCCUAAACGGUGGGUUAACUCCAAAUACAUAGAUACUUGUAUCUUGUACCGUGAAAGGGGAAACAGGUUAAUAUUCCUGUACUAUAUCAAGGAG